UGAAGGGGCGCUGGUAAUUAAACCGGCUGAGAUGGGAUGUGAUCAUCCUGAACCCGAGAACCUGAUCUGGAUAAUGCCAGCGUAGGAAGAGUACAUUU
rnacentral:ncRNA from 1 species